UAUAUAUAUAUUGUGUGUGUGUGUGUGUGUGUGUGUGUGUGUGUGUGAUACUACUUUUAUUAGACUUUGAGAAGUAAAAUAUAAGUCGGAAAUAACUUUUGCUGAAAUUGAAAUGAGAAUAUAUGAUUUAGAAUUUUCUGUAAGAAAUGAGACUGAUAUUUCAACUGAAAAUUUAUAGUGUCAGAAAAUGAUGAAAAUUUAAGAAUAUAUCGAAAUUAUUUUUCUGAUGUUAGAUUUAAAGUUUUAUAUCAUUCCGAUACCCGAAAAGUGAGAACGUAAUUUAACAGCAAUCUGAUAGAGAUUUUAGUCGAUAGACCUUUUGAUAACAAAAAAUGGUUCAAAACUGAAAAAAUAAGAUCACGUUCUUCUGAUUUAUUUUGACCGAGCCUGACUCUCAAAUUUGAGCACAAACGGACAUUCAGAAGAGUUCCGGCGAAAAGUAUCAAAUUCUGAACUGGACUAAAAGGUGAGUUGUAGUUGUUCGGGGAUACGACUUUAUCUGUCACGCCCCGCGACC
rnacentral:lncRNA from 1 species